CUGGGUGACCAGGUCCUGCCAGGUGCAUGAAAGUCUUAAAACUCUCCCAGAUUUGGAUGGCAGAGAUAACUAAAAUUUGUUCUUGGAUAAAACAUAUUUGUGUUUGGUAUCUACCUCUGCAAGUGUCUUUAAGCAGUUCUAUUUCCUGUUGCGUGUCUGUUGAUUACUCUUGAGCUCCGCUCAUUGCGUUCGCAGGGUUCUGGCGCCUCUAAGGAGGCCUCGCCUUCACUGUGACGCCCCACUCUUCCGGGCACGCCCCUGCCCAAAGGCUUUAAAAGCCGCCGUUUGGGACGUCACUUGCAUGCGACCUCAUCUUUGUCAGUGCACAAAAUGGCGCCCUACAGCCUACUGGUGACUCGGCUGCAGAAAGCUCUGGGUGUGCGGCAGUACCAUGUGGCCUCAGUCCUGUGCCAACGAGCCAAGGUGGCGAUGAGCCACUUUGAGCCCAACGAGUACAUCCACUAUGACCUGCUAGAGAAGAAUAUUAACAUUGUUCGCAAACGGUUGAACCGGCCGCUGACCCUCUCAGAGAAGAUCGUGUAUGGACACCUGGAUGACCCCGUCGGCCAGGAAAUCGAGCGGGGCAAGUCGUACCUGCGGCUGCGGCCGGACCGUGUGGCCAUGCAGGAUGCGACGGCCCAGAUGGCCAUGCUGCAGUUCAUCAGCAGCGGGCUGCCCAAGGUGGCCGUGCCGUCCACCAUCCACUGUGACCAUCUGAUUGAGGCCCAGCUCGGGGGCGAGAAAGACCUGCGCCGGGCCAAGGACAUCAACCAGGAAGUUUAUAAUUUCCUGGCAACUGCAGGUGCCAAAUAUGGCGUGGGCUUCUGGAAGCCUGGAUCUGGAAUCAUUCACCAGAUUAUUCUGGAAAACUAUGCAUACCCUGGGGUUCUUCUGAUCGGCACUGACUCCCACACCCCCAAUGGUGGCGGCCUGGGGGGCAUCUGCAUUGGAGUUGGGGGUGCCGAUGCUGUGGAUGUCAUGGCUGGGAUCCCCUGGGAGCUGAAGUGUCCCAAGGUGAUUGGUGUGAAGCUGACAGGCUCCCUCUCUGGUUGGACCUCACCCAAAGAUGUGAUCCUGAAGGUGGCAGGCAUCCUCACGGUGAAAGGUGGCACAGGUGCCAUCGUGGAAUACCACGGGCCUGGUGUAGACUCCAUCUCCUGCACUGGCAUGGCGACAAUCUGCAACAUGGGCGCAGAAAUUGGGGCCACCACUUCCGUGUUCCCUUACAACCAGCGGAUGAAGAAGUACCUGAGCAAGACCGGCCGAGCAGACAUUGCCAAUCUAGCUGAUGAAUUCAAGGAUCACCUGGUGCCUGACCCUGGCUGCCAUUAUGACCAACUAAUUGAAGUUAACCUCAGUGAGCUGAAGCCACACAUCAAUGGGCCCUUCACCCCUGACCUGGCUCACCCUGUGGCAGAAGUGGGCAAGGUGGCAGAGAAGGAAGGAUGGCCUCUGGACAUCCGAGUGGGUCUAAUUGGUAGCUGCACCAAUUCAAGCUAUGAAGAUAUGGGGCGCUCGGCAGCUGUGGCCAAGCAGGCACUGGCCCAUGGCCUCAAGUGCAAGUCCCAGUUCACCAUCACUCCAGGUUCCGAGCAGAUCCGCGCCACCAUUGAGCGGGACGGCUAUGCACAGAUCUUGAGGGAUCUGGGCGGCAUUGUCCUGGCCAAUGCUUGUGGCCCCUGCAUUGGCCAGUGGGACAGGAAGGACAUCAAGAAGGGGGAGAAGAACACAAUCGUCACCUCCUACAACAGGAACUUCACGGGUCGCAACGACGCGAACCCCGAGACCCAUGCCUUCGUCACGUCCCCAGAGAUUGUCACAGCCCUGGCCAUUGCAGGAACCCUCAAGUUCAACCCCGAGACCGACUACCUGACGGGCACGGAUGGCAAGAAGUUCAAGCUGGAGGCUCCGGAUGCGGAUGAGCUUCCCAAAGCGGAGUUUGACCCAGGGCAGGACACCUACCAGCACCCCCCCAAGGACAGCAGCGGGCAGCACGUGGAUGUGAGCCCCACCAGCCAGCGCCUGCAGCUCCUGGAGCCUUUUGACAAGUGGGAUGGCAAGGACCUGGAGGACCUGCAGAUCCUCAUCAAGGUCAAAGGGAAGUGUACCACUGACCACAUCUCGGCUGCUGGCCCCUGGCUCAAGUUCCGUGGGCACUUGGACAACAUCUCCAACAACCUGCUCAUUGGUGCCAUCAACAUUGAAAAUGGCAAGGCCAACUCCGUGCGCAAUGCCGUCACUCAGGAGUUUGGCCCCGUCCCUGACACUGCCCGCUACUACAAGACAGCCAGGCGCCUCCGUCCCCUCGGGGCCUCGUUUGGGUCUCAUUCACCCAGGCUUCACUUGCCCUCAGGCAGCAGAAACAUGGCAUCAGGUGGGUGGUGAUCGGAGACGAGAACUACGGCGAGGGCUCGAGCCGGGAACAUGCAGCUCUGGAGCCUCGCCACCUUGGGGCCCGGGCCAUCAUCACCAAGAGCUUCGCCAGGAUCCACGAGACCAACCUGAAAAAACAGGGCCUGCUGCCCCUGACCUUCGCUGACCCAGCCGACUACAACAAGAUUCACCCCGUGGACAAGCUGACCAUUCAAGGCCUAAAGGACUUCACCCCUGGCAAGCCCCUGAAGUGCAUCAUCAAGCACCCCAACGGGACCCAGGAGACUAUCCUCCUGAACCACACCUUCAACGAGACGCAGAUCGAGUGGUUCCGCGCCGGCAGUGCCCUCAACAGAAUGAAGGAGCUGCAGCAGUGAGGGCAGUGCCUCCCCGCCCCCCGCCCUGCCCCAGUGCUGGCGUCAAGUUCAGCCCCACGUGCGCCAUCAGCGGAUCCGAUGUAUCCAGUCAUGGCUUCUUAUUCCAAGAUGGUGUGACCAGACAUGCUUCCUGCUCCCCGCUCAGCCCACGGAGUGACUGUGGUUAUGGUGGGGGAGUUCUUAAAAUAACUUUUUAGCCCCUGUCUUCCUAUUUUUAGUUUGGUUCAGAUCUUAAGCAGAUCCAUGCAACUGUAUUUAUUUUUGAUGACAACACUCCCAUCUAAAGUUUUUCUCCUGCCUGAUCAUUUCAUUGGUGGCUGAAGGAUUCUAGAGAACCUUUUGUUGUUGCAAGGAAAACAAGAAUCCAAAACCAGUGA